AUGAACGCUGGCGGCGUGGAUAAGGCAUGCAAGUCAAACGGUCCCCACACCUAUCGCAAGAUAGGUGUGGGGAUAGUGGCAGACGAGGUAGUAACACGUAGGAACCUACUCCCGAGUCGGGAAUAAUUCGCCGAAAGGCGGACUAAUACCCGAUAGUAUCUUCGGAUUAAAUGAGCAAUCAGCUCGGGAAAGGGCCUGCGGAGUAUCAGCUAGUUGGUAGGGUAAUGGCCUACCAAGGCGAAGACGCUUAGGGGACCUGAGAGGGUGACCCCCACCGAUGGGACUGAGACACGGCCCAUACACCUACGGGUGGCCGCAGUCGAGAAUCUUCCGCAAUGGACGAAAGUCUGACGGAGCGACGCCGCGUGAUGGACGAAGACCCUAUGGGUCGUAAACAUCUUUUGUGAAGGAGAAAGUAUAGCGAUUUAUCGCUGUAUUGAUAGUACUUCAAGAAUAAGGGGUUGCUAAACUCGU
rnacentral:rRNA from 1 species